GAUCACGAGAUAAUUCCAUCAGAAUCAGAGGAUAUCUUCUGGUGUAAGUCCAGGCUUUGGAGACAAGCUUCAAGGUCAGAGAAGAAGGCAGCUGGAAUAGUGUUUCACCACCUCUGGAGUGGAGGGAGAUGUUACUGCACUUGUUCAAUCACUCUUGUGUCCUCGGGACAUGCGGCCCCUCCUCUCUCCCACAGAACUGUUAAACCACUUCUAAACCAGGUGGACUCAAAUAUUCAUGAUCCUACAGUGUAUCCCACUAACAUCUACAAGAAAAGAAGCAACAAGUGCCUAAUACACCAGAAAGUACAGUUAUGCCAGAGACAACGCUUAUUAACUUCAUUUUAGCCAUG